UACGUAGGGUGCAAGCGUUAUCCGGAAUUAUUGGGCGUAAAGAGCUCGUAGGCGGUUUGUCGCGUCUGCCGUGAAAGUCCGGGGCUCAACUCCGGAUCUGCGGUGGGUACGGGCAGACUAGAGUGAUGUAGGGGAGACUGGAAUUCCUGGUGUAGCGGUGAAAUGCGCAGAUAUCAGGAGGAACACCGGUGGCGAAGGCGGGUCUCUGGGCCGUAACUGACGCUGAGGAGCGAAAGCGUGGGGAGCGAACAGG
rnacentral:rRNA from 1 species